UAAGAACGGCCAUGCACCACCACCCACAGAAUCAAGAAAGAGCUCUCAAUCUGUCAAUCCUUACUAUGUCUGGACCUGGUGAGUUUCCCCGUGUUGAGUCAAAUUAAGCCGCAGGCUCCACUCCUGGUGGUGCCCUUCCGUCAAUUCCUUUAAGUUUCAGUCUUGCGACCAUACUCCCCCUGGAACUCAAAGACUUUGAUUUCUCAAAAAAUGCCGACGGAACCAACAGGCAACCGCCUCCAAUUUCUUGGUGGCAUAGUUUAUGGUUAAGACUAGGACGGUAUCUAAUCGUAUUCGAUCCCCUAACUUUCGUUCUUGAUUAAAGAAGACAGCCUUGGCAAAUGCAUUCGCAUUAGUUUGUCUUUAACAAAUCCAAGAAUUUCACCUCUGACAGUUAAAUACAAAUGCCCCCAAC
rnacentral:rRNA from 1 species